rnacentral:rRNA from 1 species
AAUGAAUAGAAUGUUACUCAAGUCAUAAGCCAAAAUUUUAUGGAUAUUAGUAUGUAAUUAAAUUAGUUGAAUAUCUCAAAUUAUUAAAAGCAUUUNUAAACAAAAUAUAUUAGAGGAUUGUUGUUCCGUAUUAGGCUAAUUGUCGAUUUUAUCCCAAGUGCGUUUAGAGUACAGCUCUCUGAAAUUAGAGCUGAAAGUAUAUUGUGAUAGACAUAAAAGGGUAUAUUACUGAUGAGGGACCAUUAGCUUACAAGUACCUUGAGGGAAAGAUGAAAAGAACUUUGGAGUGGGAGUUAAAUAGUUUAUAAAUUAAUUGGCAGAAAUUGAAUAGAAACAAGUAUUAUUGCAUUUGAUAUAAGAUUAUAUUUUAAAACUUCAAUACACUUUUUAAAUAUAACAUUUUACUAAUCAAUGCGAAAUAAACAUAUUCUAAUUUUAUUCGACCCGUCUGGAAACACGGACUAAAGGAGUCUAGUAUGAGUGCGAAACGUUUGAAGUUAAACUUUUUUGAUUGUACCUAACAUGAAUCGUAUUCGUCUAAAGUGUAAAUUACAAAUUAUGGAUAGUG